rnacentral:RNase_P_RNA from 1 species
GCAAGCCGAAGGGCAGCUAACGGUUUUUCGUAAACUGAGGAAACUCCAUCCAUCAUACAGAACCGUGGUGUCAGAAGGCAUACGCUGAGAAGCGGGACCAUGGAGCAGAAACGACACGUCUUCUGAUGAAUGAACAUGAUGCGAAGCUGAUGACAUCAGAAGGAACGGUGAGACGGCCAUUCCACGGGAUGCAAGGGUAAAUACUACUUAUGAGUCCUGUACGAAGUAGAGGUAAUCCGCAUAGAUGAAUGCUGCUUAAACAGAAGGUGGGUUACUCUCGGCAUGU